UCCGCUGCCGCCCUCCGAUCGACGCGCCUCCGCCUCCGCCUCGCCGUCGCCGUCGCCACCCGUCGCCUCCGCCUCGCCGACGCCGAAACCCUUGCCGCCGCGUGUGGCCGACCAUCGUCGACAGCUUGGGGACUGGGUUCGCUCGGCGAUCAUGGCGCUCGUUUCUCGCCUCGUUUCCAAGUCCCGGCAGGUUAAAAGUUAAGCUGAAGCAGCUAGCUGAGCAGUAUGUGCUUUCUGAACAACAUCAUGAACAGGAGAAUUGCCAAAUACGACCACGGAGUCAAGCUCGAUGUUGUCUUCUCGA